GGACUCCAGCUGCUGAUUCCAUUCAUUGCCCUGGACUGCGAGCAAAAGAAAGGCAAGAAUCGGCCUGAAGCAAGAGAGCCCACUGACUGUGGCUUACAGAAGUCUGCCUGAACAGGAUAAAAGUGACAGAAGUUGUCUAUGAGGGUGGUAAAGCGUCUGGCCUGAUCCUUCAUCGACAGCGUCAGCACGGGAACGCGGCGGAUCAAUACUGUGUCGAAGAGCCGCGCCAUCUCCAGUGUGACUGCCUUGGGCCGGCGAUGGAUUGUUCUGCAGGGUCGUUCUCACAACCUUCUCCUGCCUCGGCUGUUCCUCUUGGGGAAACAUCGUUUGAGUUGGAGGCCCCAUCUUUUGUGAUCCAGGACCCCACUGGACCCCCCGCUCUCAACCCAUCGAGUUUCGUUGGCCCAGGACUGAACCAAAACGGUAACUCGGGCAGUGUGUGCUACCUGCACCUGGCCAACAGAGGCUCCAUUUGUUGAUCGUGACAGACGCGAGCAAAACAUGGGCUCCACGCAGUUUAUUACAAAAAUUGCUCUCUGAUCAUCUUGUAUAGUAUAAACCUGCAAGACCUUUACAAGAAGACUUCAACAAUGUAGCAUUGCAGUCUUUUAAACCUGCAGGACUUUAUGUGCACAAUUAAAAAGGAAUCAGCAAAAUUAAAUAAGAGACUUCAUCUUUCUUGUUCUGUGCACUGUGAAAACCUGUCCGUACUACCCCCAUCCAUCUGA